AUUGAACGCUGGCGGCAGGCUUAACACAUGCAAGUCGAACGAGUGGCGGACGGGUGAGUAAUGUCUGGGAAACUGCCUGAUGGAGGGGGAUAACUACUGGAAACGGUAGCUAAUACCGCAUACCAUCAGAUGUGCCCAGAUGGGAUUGGCUAGUAGGUGGGGUAAUGGCUCACCUAGGCGACGAUCCCUAGCUGGUCGGAGGGGAGGACCGGCAAAACUGGAACUGGGACACGGUCCAGACUCCUACGGGGGGAGGCAGUGGGGAAUAUUGCACAAUGGGCGAAGGCCUGAUGCAGCCAUGCCGCGUGUGUGUAGAAGGCCUUCGGGUUGUAAAGUACUUUCAGCGGGGAGGCGUUACUCGCAGAAGAAGCACCGGCUAACUCCGUGCCAGCAGCCGCGGUAAUAC
rnacentral:rRNA from 1 species